UCGAGAAUCUUCCGCAAUGGGCGAAAGCCUGACGGAGCGACACCGCGUGCAGGACGAAGGCCCUCGGGUUGUAAACUGCUGUCACGCUCUAGGAAUGCCAUGUCGUUAAUAGCGGCAUGGUUGACCAAGGCGAAAGGAAGUGGCGGCUAACUCUGUGCCAGCAGCCGCGGUAAGACAGAGGCCACGAACGUUGUUCGGAAUCACUGGGCAUAAAGCGCACGUAGGCGGCUAGGUCCGUCCAAUGUGAAAGCCCCCGGCUCAACCGGGGAAUUGCAUCGGAUACAGCCUGGCUUGAGGACGGUUGGGGUGAGUGGAACUCCUGGUGUAGCGGUGAAAUGCGUAGAUAUCAAGAGGAACACCUGAGGUGAAGACGGGUUGCUGGGCUGACACUGACGCUGAGGCGCGAAAGCUAGGGGAGCAAACGGGAUUAGAUACCCACGUAGUCCCUGAGCGGGCUGGCAAGGCGCAU
rnacentral:rRNA from 1 species